rnacentral:rRNA from 1 species
AUGUUCUUCGGCUUUCUUGGCAUCACGAAUCCUCUCAUUCUCAAGUGCAAGUCUACGCUCCUUCGCCUUCAACUUUCUCUCUUUGGUUGCCAACUUGGCUUUCCAUUUCUCAUCCUCAACAUCUUGAGCUCAUUCCACCUCACCAUCUUCUCUUCUUUGUGUUCGGACGCCAACAACUUCUUGGCUUCGAUCAUGGCCACAAGUUCUUCUUUGUAUGUGCUACCGUAUGCAUUUCUGUUCUUUCUCUCUUUUGCAAUUUUGUUCUCUUCUAGUCCAGUGUUGGGCUCUUCAUCCACCUCGCCGUCCUCCUCAACGGAUAUGCUCAACUUUGAUCUCUUUGGAGUGUAA